AUUGAACGCUGGCGGCAGGCCUAACACAUGCAAGUCGAGCGGAUGAAGGGAACUUGCGCCUGGCUUCAGCGGCGGGCGGGAGGGUAAUGCCAAGGAAUCUGCCUGGUCGGGCGGGAUAACGUCCGGAAACGGGCGCUAAUACCGCAUCCGUCCUGAGGGGGCAAGAGGGGGAUCUUCGGACCCCACGCUAUCAGAUGAGCCUACGUCGGCUUAGCUAGUUGGUGGGGUAAAGGCCUACCAAGGCGACGAACCGUGACUGGUCUGAGAGGAGGAUCAGUCACACUGCAACUGAGACACGGUCCAGACUCCUACGGGAGGCACCAGGGGGGAAUAUUGGACGAUGGGCGCAAGAAUGAUCCAGACACGCCGCGUGUGUGAAGAAGGUCUGCGGAUUGUAAAGCGCGGUAAGUUGGGAGGAAGGGCAGUAAGAUAAUACGUGGCUGUUUUGACGGUACCAACAGAAAAAGCGCCGGCUAACUUCGUG
rnacentral:rRNA from 1 species